rnacentral:tRNA from 1 species
GGAGAGGUGACCGAGUGGCCGAAGGUGCAUGACUGGAAAUCAUGUGGGCGUGCAAGCGUCCCGCGAGUUCGAAUCUCGCCCUCUCCGCUA